GAUGAACGCUGGCGGCAUGCCUAAUACAUGCAAGUCGAGCGAACAGACGAGGAGCUUGCUCCUCUGACGUUAGCGGCGGACGGGUGAGUAACACGUGGAUAACCUACCUAUAAGACUGGGAUAACUUCGGGAAACCGGAGCUAAUACCGGAUAAUAUAUUGAACCGCAUGGUUCAAUAGUGAAAGACGGUUUUGCUGUCACUUAUAGAUGGAUCCGCGCCGCAUUAGCUAGUUGGUAAGGUAACGGCUUACCAAGGCAACGAUGCGUAGCCGACCUGAGAGGGUGAUCGGCCACACUGGAACUGAGACACGGUCUAGACUCCUACGGGAGGCAGCAGUAGGGAAUCUUCCGCAAUGGGCGAAAGCCUGACGGAGCAACGCCGCGUGAGUGAUGAAGGUCUUCGGAUCGUAAAACUCUGUUAUUAGGGAAGAACAAAUGUGUAAGUAACUAUGCACGUCUUGACGGUACCUAAUCAGAAAGCCACGGCUAACUACGUG
rnacentral:rRNA from 1 species